ACAAUCUCAAAAUAACUGCGAUUCGAGUAAAGCUAUUUUACUACUGGUGUUUCAGACACCUCGCUGUGCUGUACGUAUUUUUAUCGUGGUUCUGUUACUGUUAGCCUAUAAGCCUAUUUAUUUACCGGACAUUUGGUUCCAAAUGUGACGUGUUUUUAAUACUUUCACGAUUUAAUCGAUUAUAGUUUUAGAAAGAAUUCGAAUAGGUAUUUGGAACUGCUCUCAAACUACGAGCCAGGGAUCAUUUUCAAUUUCAACUCCGCCAUAUUUGAUGCUUGAUUCACGUUAAACGCGAAUAUCCCUCCUUCGUCAGAGCGCACUACCUACUGCACCAAUAGCGUGGCUACAGGAUUUCUCCAACGUUAAUCGCAACAUUCGCAGUUUCAAUUCAACAUUUGCUGCCAUCAAUGAGUAUUUUCGCAUCGACAAUCAAAAUUUGCGGAUAUUGCCAACAUUACUGGAAACUGCAAAAAAAAAAGUUAUGGCUUACGUGAUCCCGCAUCUACGCAGUCGAUAUGUCUAUGAGUAGCACAAGAUAUGGUUCUGAAUGAUUUCGAAAAAUUUUGUGGCAUGUGGAAUGUGGAGUAAUUCCGGAAUCCAAAGUACAUCGAAGAAUUCGAGCAACACUGGCCUUCAGCAAAGAAGGAUCCUCAGAAGAAAACAACCCACUCCCAUCCUCGAAAAUAAUGAUUCACUCAGGAGGAUAAUAAACCGAUGGUUAGAGAAGAUCAUGUACUUGUACUGUACUCAAAGGUACGACGAUAUGCCCUGUUAAUGGAAAAAUGGCUCUAUUUUUAGAUAUUCUAUAAUUGAAGUAGAUUUCCUUUGAGAAAUAAAAAGACUAUCUUACAGUUGAUUAAAGUUAGGAAAAAUUGGUGAAUGUAGAAGAAGUCAGUGAUUGAGAGAAGGAUGCGAAAAAUGUUCGGAAUAAAUAUGUAUAGGUACGCAUUAGGCAAUUCAAGAAAAAAAAACUGAACUUAUCCAUUACACAGUCUUCCCAUGAGUGAAAAAAAAAUCAUUAAGAUUACAAAAAUCGUAAAAACACAUCACAUCGAUCAUUGAAAAAAAUGAUUAAGAUAAGGCACAAUUUGCUCAGUAACAUUUUUAAAAUCAUUUUUUAAAGAAAGCAUUUUGAAAUUCUUUUCAUCAUUUUUAUAUCUAAGUUUAAAAAAAACACGCAAUGAUAAAAUAUCCUAAAACUAAUAUUAGGUACUUACUUAUAUGCGGAAAAUAGCUAUGGGAGAAGAUGAAAAGGAAAGAGAGAAGAAAGAAAAAACAACAAAUUCAAAAAUCAAAAUAGAUAUAUAAAACGAAAUAAGGGAGGGAAGAAAAAAAAUUACUUACAAAAUUGUUUGAUCUUUAAUUAGUAAUUGAAAUCAGAUUCCAUUGUGGUAGUAUUUUUAGAAUUAAGAGCAUCAAUUUCAAAGUCUCUUCAUGUACUUAUGUACACCAACACAAAGUAACAUUUGUCAUUAAAACAUA